rnacentral:lncRNA from 1 species
AUUUGCAAAGCAUUUUUCUCUCAAAUGCCGUCCGAUGGAGUAUCGUAAGCUUUAGAGUCGGAAAGGUACCAUUUAAUCCAACCCCUCAUGUCACCCAUCUGGAAACUGAGGUUCAGAGAAGUGACUUGACCAAGGUCACAGCGAAAGCUAUUUCUUGAGACAAAGAAGAAAGAAGAAAGCAGAGGAAAAAAAAGUAGUUCUGUAAAACUUACCUAGCUACCCGCUGAGUCUGGAUUCAUUUGUAAUAUUCCACACAUCUUUAGUCCUCUAGUUCUGCAAAGAAGAAAAGGAGAUGCAUUUUCUUCUC